AACGAACGCUGGCGGCAGGCUUAACACAUGCAAGUCGAACGCCCCGCAAGGGGAGUGGCAGACGGGUGAGUAACGCGUGGGAAUCUACCCAGAUCUUCGGAACAACACAGGGAAACUCGUGCUAAUACCGGAUACGCCCUACGGGGGAAAGAUUUAUCGGAUUUGGAUGAGCCCGCGUUGGAUUAGCUAGUUGGUGAGGUAAUGGCUCACCAAGGCGACGAUCCAUAGCUGGUCUGAGAGGAUGAUCAGCCACACUGGGACUGAGACACGGCCCAGACUCCUACGGGAGGCAGCAGUGGGGAAUAUUGGACAAUGGGCGAAAGCCUGAUCCAGCCAUGCCGCGUGAGUGAUGAAGGCCUUAGGGUUGUAAAGCUCUUUUAGUGGGGAAGAUAAUGACGGUACCCACAGAAAAAGCCCCGGCUAACUUCGUGCCAGCCGCCGCAGUAA
rnacentral:rRNA from 1 species